rnacentral:rRNA from 1 species
GUGUGUGAAGAAGGCUUGGGUGUAGGCACUUAGCGAGAGGUAGCUACUGUAUUCAUCUCUGGGAUAGUGGACGUUACUCACACACUAAGCGCCGGCUAACUCUGUGCCAGCAGCCGCGGUAAUACAGAGGGUGCGAGCGUUAAUCGGAUUUACUGGGCGUAAAGCGUGCGUAGGCGGCUUUAUAAGUCGGAUGUGAAAUCCCCGAGCUUAACUUGGGAAUUGCAUUCGAUACUGGGAAGCUAGAGUAUGGGAGAGGAUGGUAGAAUUCCAGGUGUAGCGGUGAAAUGCGUAGAGAUCUGGAGGAAUACCGAUGGCGAAGGCAGCCAUCUGGCCUAAUACUGACGCUGAGGUACGAAAGCAUGGGGAGCAAACAGGAUUAGAUACCCUGGUAGUCCAUGCCGUAAACGAUGUCUACUAGCCGUUGGGGCCUUUGAGGCUUUAGUGGCGCAGCUAACGCGAUAAGUAGACCGCCUGGGGAGUACGGUCGCAAGACUAAAACUCAAAUGAAUUGACGGGGGCCCGCACAAGCGGUGGAGCAUGUGGUUUAAUUCGAUGCAACGCGAAGAAGCUUACCUGGCCCCUG